rnacentral:tRNA from 1 species
GGAGAAAUGGCAGAGUGGUUAAUUGCAUUUCUUUUAAAAUGUUAACGGGGGUUCAAAUCCUCCUUUCUCCA